CCCUUAGAUGUCCGGGGCCGCACGCGCGCUACACUGAAGGAAUCAGCGUGGCUUUCUCCCUGACCCGAAAGGGUUGGGAAACCCGUUGAAUCUCCUUCGUGAUAGGGAUUGGGGCUUGAAAUUGUUCCCCAUGAACGAGGAAUUCCCAGUAAGCGCGAGUCAUAAGCUCGCGUUGAUUACGUCCCUGCCCUUUGUACACACCGCCCGUCGCACCUACCGAUUGGAUGGUCCGGUGAAGCCUCGGGAUUGUGGUUCUUGCCGCUUUGUUGUGGCGUGACCGCGAGAACUUGUCUAAACCUUAUCAUCUAGAGGAAGGUGAAGUCGUAACA
rnacentral:rRNA from 1 species